GUUUGGGAGCUGCAAAAUACACUCAGAUUCAAACUGCCUCUGUGUUUGUUUCUGUUUGUCAUCGCUGACAAAACUUGUUUGUCCUUACCCACCUAGCCUUGAGAACCCACAUCCCAGGGACUCCCAUAUUUGACUGGGGUGGUCCGUGGCAGAUGGAGCUGCAAAAUGGGACUUGAAGCAGGUAAGAUUUCUUUCUCCUUUUUCUAAAAAAUACCUUUUCAGGUAAGGAUAGGACCUCAUUAGAGUGUUGCAGAUUCCUUGAUAGAGAGACCAGACAUUACAUGAAGACGGCAAGAAGGUAAGAAUCAUAUGGCAUUCAUAGUCCACGAACAGAGGCUUGUUCCUGGCAGUCUUGAGUCAUAUGUUAGAAAGUAGAGGUGUUAAAACCUCAAAGAAGAGUUUUGGCAGCAUUUUAUGACUUUGUACUGAGUGUCAGUCCAUGGUUCCCAGAGAAAGGAAGCCUUUCUUUAGAAGACUUUAUUGCUAGAUUGGAAGAAGCACUAAGCAGGAUGCUUCCUCCCUCUGAGGGCCCAGACAUAUUAUAAAAACAACUUGCAUGGGAAAAUGCCAAUACUCUCUGCCGGGAACUAAUUAGACCAAUCAGAAAAAUAGGGACUGUGCAAGAUUCCAUCAAAGCAUGUAUCGAUGCCUCAUCAGCAGUGGUCCAGGGUAUGGCCUAUGCUGCAGUAAUGCAAGAGCAACAUUUUCGUCCCUAUGUUCAGAACCUAAAAGAAGGAAGAAACCAAAAUGUUUCAUGCUUUUCUUGUGUCCAACAAGGACAUACAAGUUGCGACUGUAAAAAAGAAGAGCAGACUUCAAAGAAUAAAAAUAAGAAAAACCAACCUCUGUGUCCUCGGAGUAAGAUAGGAAAGCAUUGGAGGAAUGAAUGUAAAUAGAAAUUUCAUGAGGAUGGAAACCCUCUGAAAGAUGAGGAGAUAAAAAAUGGGGUGAGGGCAUGCCUUCCACCCUGAAAUUUAAAAAGGGCCAAAAAGGGAACAGAGGAAGAUGCAAGUAAACUGAAUCCUCUGGCCCCUGAGUUUAACAUUUUAAGCUCACCCAGAGCAACACCAGGAAGUGCAGGAUUAGAUCUUGCAGUAGAAGAAGAUUGCAUACUCUCUCUUUAUAAGGGAAUGCAAUUAGAAGAUACAGGACUUAAAGGGUCACUCUCAUUUGGCACCUUUUGUCUUAUAAUAGGGAGAAGUUCAAAUUAUAAGAAAAAAUUUGGAGUACUUCCUGGAGUAAUUGAUUCAGAUUUCCAGGGAGAGGCAAAAAUUAUGAUUGGGCCAUUAAAAGAAACAAUACAAUUACAUAAGAACCAACAGGUAGCCCAGAUAAUACUACUUCCCUAAAUACACCUCCCAAAUCCAAUAUCAAAACAAACUAGAGGGGAUGAAGGGUUUGGCUCCACAGAAGUGAUAGCUUGGGCCCAGGAAAUUUCUGAACAAAGACCCUUUAAAACUAUAAAAGU
rnacentral:lncRNA from 1 species